AGGGAUAUAUAACUCAGCGGUAGAGUGUAGGUGUCACCUUGACGUGGUGGAAGUCAUCAGUUCGAGCCUGAUUAUCCCUA
rnacentral:tRNA from 1 species